CCGACAUCACCAUACCGUCCGUUUGUGAGUUCUUCCGUCCGAGUUCUUUCACGUAAUGGUCGAUAUUCGUGGCGUUGUUCUUCAGAGCGGAUACUGGGAUCGAGUACAGAUGGAAGGAAGAUAGAGGCGAAUAGUAGACGUGCCUGAAACAUUGUGUCGUCUCUUGGGAGAUCUCGCGUGUCGAGAGGCUCACGUAUGGUCGUAUUUUGACAUUUAACGUCUCUUCGCAGAGGAGAACAACAAUGUAAAAUCUACCGGCUGUAAAGAAACACUAAUUUAAUAAUACCUGUCCAUGCUGCUUGCUGGCGAAAGCGCUAUACCAUCCACGUGCACCGAGAGUACACGAUGAUGCCAGGAUCGUUGUUGCUGUUAUCGGUGAUGUACGCCAUGCCACCG